rnacentral:rRNA from 1 species
UGAGGAAUUUUGCGCAAUGGGCGAAAGCCUGACGCAGCGACGCCGCGUGGAGGAGGAAGGUCUUCGGAUCGUAAACUCCUGUCAAGAGGGAAGAAAAUCGGUGGGAUGAAUAAGCCCGUCGGUCGACGGUACCUCUGGAGGAAGCCCCGGCUAACUCCGUGCCAGCAGCCGCGGUAAUACGGAGGGGGCCAGCGUUGUUCGGAAUCAUUGGGCGUAAAGGGCGCGUAGGCGGCCUGGCAAGUCCGUUGUGAAAGCCCCCGGCUUAACCGGGGAACUGCGGCGGAUACUGCCGGGCUCGAGUCCCGGAGAGGGUAGCGGAAUUCCCAGUGUAGCGGUGAAAUGCGUAGAUAUUGGGAGGAACAUCGGUGGCGAAGGCGGCUACCUGGACGGGUACUGACGCUGCAGCGCGAAAGCUAGGGGAGCAAACAGGAUUAGAUACCCUGGUAGUCCUAGUUGUAAACGAUGGGCACUUGGUGUUGCGGGUAUCGACCCCUGCAGUGCCGAAGCUAACGCAUUAAGUG